rnacentral:misc_RNA from 1 species
GAUGAGAACGUAGCGAAAUGCGAUAAGUAAUGUGAAUUGCAGAAUUCAGUGAAUCAUCGAAUCUUUGAACGCACCUUGCACCCUUUGGACUGCUCCAAAGGGUAUGCUCGUUUGAGUGUCAUUGUACUCUCACACUCUCUGAUCCUUUGGAUUUGGGGAGCGGUGGACUUGGGUGCUUGCUGCUUCCUUGUGGCUCACCUGAAAUGCAUCAGUGCAUCUCUCGAUUGGACAUAGCACGGCGUGAUAAGUGUCUUCGCCGGCACCUCAUAUGAGGGUGGCCGAUCGGGAGCUCUGUGCUUUCAAACCGUCUUCGGACAACGCUGACAACUUGACCUCAAAUCGAGUAGGACUACCCGCUGAACUUAAGCAUAUCAAUAAGCGAGGA